GGAAUAUUGGUCAAUGGACGCAAGUCUGAACCAGCCAUGACGCGUGAAGGAUGAAGGCGUUCUGCGUUGUAAACUUCUUGUGCGGGGGAAGAAACCUGAUUUUUCUAAAUCAGCCGACGGUGCCCCGAGAAUAAGCACCGGCUAACUCCGUGCCAGCAGCCGCGGUAAUACGGAGGGUGCAAGCGUUAUCCGGAUUUCCUGGGUUUAAAGGGUGUGUAGGCGGACUUUUAAGUCCGUGGUGAAAUCUCCGGGCUCAACCCGGAAACUGCCAUGGAUACUAUUGGUCUUGAAUAUUGUUGAGGUGGGCGGAACGGGUCAUGUAGCGGUGAAAUGCAUAGAUAUGACCCGGAACACCGAUUGCGAAGGCAGCCCACUAAGCAAUGAUUGACGCUGAGGCACGAAAGCGUGGGGAUCAAAC
rnacentral:rRNA from 1 species